AUUAACCCACCCAUUCUAUUUUUUAAACCCGCCCGACCCAGUAAUAUGUUACUAUUACUGAUAUAUACUUCUACGGAAUAGCUGUAUGCAUGUAUCCUAAAGCACUGACAAAAUUGAGUCAGAACUUCAAAAUGAUAAAGAUCAGAGAAACCAAAAUUAUUAUUAAGAUUGUCUACACAAAAGAAGAUAACAGCUAAAAUAAGUCCUAAUUAACUAUAUAAUCUUUUUCUUUUUUCACCUCAGAAAGUACAAAAUAUUCAGUCUGGGUGAUACAUGAUAAAUUAUUUGUAUGAAGAGACAAAAAUCUAAAUAUACAUAUCUCAGAAGAAAAGGAUGGGACUAACAACAGAUAUACACUGGAACAUUAACUUGAUAUUUUCUUGAACAGCUACUUCCAUCUCUUCUACCAUUUCUUCAUCUGGUCAAAAUGAUCAUCAGACUCUGUUGACAUAGCAAAUGAUCUUUUACAAUGCAGAAUUGCAUCAGAAACCGCAUUUUCCAUAUCGCACCAAACAUCCCUAGAAUUAUGAUCAAAGGAUAGAUUUCUUAUAGGUGAAGCCUGUGCUGAAUUAUUCCAACUUUUCACCUUUCUCAAUCUCUUAAUUCUACUUGUAUUUCUUUGGUUCUUCUCAUUUCCAGCCCAAUCAACAACAGAAUAAGAUUUAACCAUCCGACGAGGAGAUCCCUGAAAUAAAGAAUUAGUAGUAGUAGUAGUAGUAGUACU
rnacentral:lncRNA from 1 species